UACGUAGGGUGCAAGCGUUGUCCGGAAUUAUUGGGCGUAAAGAGCUCGUAGGCGGUCUGUCGCGUCGAAUGUGAAAACCCGGGGCUCAACCCCGGGCCUGCAUUCGAUACGGGCAGACUAGAGUUCGGUAGGGGAGUCUGGAAUUCCUGGUGUAGCGGUGAAAUGCGCAGAUAUCAGGAGGAACACCGGUGGCGAAGGCGGGUCUCUGGGCCGAAACUGACGCUGGAGGAGCGAAAGCGUGGGGAGCAAACAGG
rnacentral:rRNA from 1 species